GAUGAACGCUGGCGGCGUGCCUAAUACAUGCAAGUCGAGCGAACGGGCGAGAAGCUUGCUUCUCUGAUGUUAGCGGCGGACGGGUGAGUAACACGUGGAUAACCUACCUAUAAGACUGGGAUAACUUCGGGAAACCGUAGCUAAUACCGGAUAAUAUUUUGAACCGCAUGGUUCAAAAGUGAAAGACGGUCUUGCUGUCACUUAUAGAUGGAUCCGCGCUGCAUUAGCUAGUUGGUAAGGUAACGGCUUACCAAGGCAACGAUGUAUAGCCGACCUGAGAGGGUGAUCGGCCACACUGGAACUGAGACACGGUCCAGACUCCUACGGGAGGCAGCAGUAGGGAAUCUUCCGCAAUGGGCGAAAGCCUGACGGAGCAACGCCGCGUGAGUGAUGAAGGUCUUCGGAUCGUAAAACUCUGUUAUUAGGGAAGAACAUAUGUGUAAGUAACUGUGCACAUCUUGACGGUACCUAAUCAGAAAGCCACGGCUAACUACGUG
rnacentral:rRNA from 1 species